CGCCUCACCUCGGGGUGCGUGGGAAACCAGGCUGAGAGUAAACCCGUAGAACCUGAACCGGCUAGAACCGGCGGAGGGAAGGUUACGGACGUGGUC
rnacentral:ncRNA from 2 species